rnacentral:miRNA from 11 species
AUAUAUAUAUAUAUAUGUGUGUGUGUGUGUGUGUGUGUGUGUGUGUGUGUAUAUAUAUAUAUAUAUACACACACAUAUAUAUAUAUACACAUACAUAC